AACAAAAAACUCUUCCUAAAAAUGAAAAGGAAAAGUAAAAAGAAAAGAAAAAGUAAACAAGCAAAAGGGGAAAUCAGAAGCCUCCGCAGCUAGCGAUCCAUCUUGUUCACUUCGAUGCCAACUUGAUAGCCAGUGGAAAUCUCGAUUCUAAGCUAAUUUUUUAUCUGUUGAGAAAACUAAGCUAAAUUUUAAGCUGGAAUCUUAUUUGAGCUAAUUAUUUCUGUUAUUUUUUCUAUAAUCUUUAGGUAGGUUCCAUCACAAGACACCCCAAAAAGCCAUCACCGGGUGCUAUGGUAACUAAAUCCCAGAAACGAAGAAACUUCAUUAAGAUAUAAAUGAGCUAAGCAGUCCAUAAAUGGUCUCAGUUAAUACCACUGUCAAAGAUCAAGAGUGAGAAAUUCAAUCAAAAGGUGCUAGAAUGGAUAAAUUUCCCUCCAUCAUUUCUAAUGCAAAAAGCUCAAGAUGCAGGACCAGGAUUUCCUUUUGCUGAUCCAUCGAUAUUGCAUUUGAAUGCACCUUUUCUAGGGAAUUGUUUUUGGUAGGUUUGCAAGUAACCUGUGAUGUAAAGCUUUCAAAGAAAUGUACUAUUAAAGGCCAGGUUUUAGGAAUAGCAUUUAUCCAAGGGUAUUUCACCAAAGCAUAGUGAUAUAGAUAAAGAUCUAUAUCAUAAAAGACCCGGUUGCUAGUCAUGUUGCCUCCAUGCACUACAUUGUUUCUCCAUUUUCAGAUUUGUCACACAAUAAGAGCAGGAAUCACUCUUAGAAGAGGCUUUAGCUUGUAUGCGCCCUUGGUUUUCCACCAUUUAACAAUAGUCUGCUUUAUCUGAAUAAAAGGCUCAUGAACACCAGCAGCUGCAACAUAUCUCGUCCAAAUAUUAGUAGCAAAUUCUCUUGUUAAAAAUAGAUGUUCUAUAGUUUCUAGUUGAGGGUUUAAGCAAUACCUACAUCUUGAAACUAUAGUAAUUCCACAUCUAGAUACAAUAUCAUCCACUUGAAGCUUCUCUUUCCACAAUCUCCAUAAGCAAAAAGAUAUUUUAAAAGGUAGACCCUUUUUCCACAUCUUAAAAAAAAAUAAAGAUUUUUCCUUCCUAUUUCUUACCUUGUCCCAAGCUGUUUUGACUGUAAAUUCCCCACUCUUAGAUAAGGUCAUAAGGUCCACCCGGGUUUAUCACUAUUGUUAGAUGUAUCACCUAGAGAGAGAUAAGUUAUGAUAUGCUCCACCACUUGCAUAGGAAGAUUUUGAACCAGAGGAGGGACAUUCCGUUGCCUAUUAUUCAACACAUCACUUACUUUAUCAAUAUUCCGAUUUAUAGUAAAACCAACAGGUAAAAUGCUAGCAAGUGAUUCGAGCCUAGUCCAACUAUCAAGCCAAAAACUUGCAAUGCCCGACCUUGUCUCCCACCAUAUGUGACUUUCCAUUAAAUCUCUUGCUUAUAGCAUCAUUUUUCAUAAAUGUGAGCCACCCUUCCAUUGGACUAAAGUAGGAUUGAACUUCUUUCAAUAUUUAUUCCACAUAAAACUAGACCACAAAGUUUCAGAAGUUCUGAAUUUUCACCAUAGUUUUGCAAAAAGAGCUUUUGAUAGAUCAAAUAAGGACCUAAAUCCCAAACCUCCUUCUUCUUUAGGUAUAUGAAAACUUUCAACAAAACUAACCAAUGUCUAUUUCUUCCUUCUUCUUUGUUACUCCAAAAGAACAUUGAAAAACUUUGUGCAUUUUAUUGAUGGUAAAUUGGGUUAGAGCCAUAGCUGAAAGCAAAUACUCCCUCCAUUCCACAAUAAGUGAAUUGUUGGAUUUUGGCACACAUGUUAAGAAAAAAACAAAGACAUAAAUUUAUCAUAUUUUUCCAUUGCUAUUCUUUUCAAAUUUCAAAACCUUAAUAAUGAUACAUUACUCUUGGGAAGAUAUAAAUUACUCCUUCAAUUAGUGGAGAGAGUAUUUCUAACUGCUAAGCUGUUAGAACGUACUUAAAAGCUACUAAGCUUUUAAUUGAAGAAGUACUUAAAAGCUGCUAAGCUGCUAAUAUAAAGUACUCCUUCAAUUAAUGGGGUCACAAGAAAGCUGCUAAUAUAAAGUCCUUGGAACUCGACCAAAAUUUUAAUUAAUGAAGGGUAAAUUUGAAAAAAAUUUGCAACAUCUCUUAUUGUGGAAUAGAGGGAGUAUAAAGGCAUGCGUUGAAGGACACUUGUGAUUAGCACUGCCUUACCACCAUAUAAAAGUAGUUUACCCUUCUAAUUUUGCAAAUUGUCAUUUAUUUUCUUUAUCUAAUCAUUUUAGUACACACCUUCUUCUUUCUAGAAUGAAAAAUAGGACAUCCAAGAUAUUUGAAAGGAAAAGUACACCUGAAAAAACCUGUCCAAGUAGCUAUCUAUUGUUUCAGAGUGAUAGAGCAAAUUCUUAGCAUGUAGAAAGCACUCUUUUCUCUAUUCACAAGUUGACCUUAAGUUUUUUCAUAAUCUCUAUGAAUCUCCAUGGUUAUAUAAACUGAUUGUUCUUCUGCAGAAGUGAAAAUUAUUAUAUCAUCCGCAUAAGCUAGAUGAUUGAUCUUAGCACUCCAUUUAGGAAGUCCAAAACUCUGAUAAUUGUUCCUAUCAAAUAAACUGUUAAGUGCUCUUGAUAGGACUUCUGUUGUAAUAAUGAAGACUGCUGGCGAUAAUGGGUCCCCUUGUUUGACACCUCUGGUGGAAUGAAAAAAUCCAUGUGCUUGCCCAUUGAACAGAAUUGAAUAUCAGUUAUUAGCUAUCAAUCUCCAUCUCAACUCUAUGAAAACUUCUGAAAAAUUCAUCUUCUUCAAAACUUUAGUAAGAAAUAACCAAGAAACUUUGUCAUGUGCUUUUUUCAUGUCCAGCUUAAUAACAAUAUUAGUUGGUUUACCCCUUUUCGUAAUAUCAGUAAUGAUCUCUUUUGCGAGGAGAACAUUUUCUAUAAUGCAUCUUCCUUUCACAAAGACUGACUGAUUGCAUGGAAUCAAUUUAGGAAGAAGAUUUUUCAAUCUAUCAUGAACCACUCUAAAGAUAACUUUGUUGAUAAAGUUACUCAGGCUUAUAGGUCUAAGAUCAGCAAAGCUCUAAGGAUUAGCCUUCUUAGGAAGUAGAAUCAGGUUAGUAUGGGUGAUAGCUCUAGGAAGUGUAUUUCCUUCAAAAAAAGCUUUCACUAGUUCCAAAAUAUCUUGUCCCACAACAUCCCAAAAAUCUGAUAAAAGGUACCUGAAAGACCAUCAGGGCCACAAGCACUUUCUCCCUUUAAACUGAAAACAACACGUUUGACUUCCUCUAUUUCUGGUAUCACAUUGAGUUCUUCGUUUUCAGCUUCUGAUAUUAGAUGAGGACUCUGGUCAAGGAUAGUGAAAUCAUGACUUCCCUUGCCCUGGUGAAAUUGAUUCUGAAAGAAAUUUAUAGCUUCUGUAGUCAUCAAAUUUUUAUCUUCCAACCAUUUGCUAUCAGAAUCUUGAAUUCUUUUGAUUUUGAGCCUUUAUCUUCCCCCCUUUACUAAGUUAUGAAAACCUUAGUAAUUUUGUCUCCUUCUGAGAAUCAGAUAAGUCCAGCCUUCUGCCUCGAAAACUCCUCUUCAUAAUGCAAAUAUAAUUUCAACUUUGUUUGUGCCUUCUAAAGAACACUUUUGUUUUCAGGGGAGGGGUCUUCUUUAAAGAGCUGCUCUUUUAAUUUUUUCACUUCCUCUCUAAUGAGAAGAUGCUGAAAAAUGUCUCCAAAAGUCUCUUUGUUCCAUUUGGAUAAAAUCAUUUUUAUAUGUUUAAUUUUGUGCUUAAACUUAUAAAAACAAUUACCCUCUUUGUCAGUAUGCCAAAUCUCUCUCUGACAAUGUCCAGAAAACCUUCAUGCUUAGCCCAAAAUUAAAGAGAUUUAAAAGGCCUCAUGUAACUCUGAUUAUUCUGACCCAAGGUAAUAAGGGAGGGGGUAUGGUCAAAACCAGUUUUGGCUAGAUGUUUCACUUCCCUGUUUGAGAACCAGGUCUUGCAAAGCUUUAUUUGUGAAAAUUCUAUCUAGUCUCUUAAAAUACAAUUCGAACCAACUCUUCCAUUCCACCAUGUAAAAGUAUUUUCUUUGAAAGGGAUUUUUUCCAAUUCACUUGAAUUGACACAAAAAGCAAAAUUCUCAUAUUCUUGAGGCAUCACAGGAAGGCCACCAAGCUUUUCUUCUUCAUUUAAAAUUACAUUAAAAUCUCCCCUAGUAAUCCAAGGAUAAGUCAUGUUCAAAGUGAAAUUGUAGAUACUAUCCUACAAAGACUGUCUCUCAUUUUCUGAACAUUUAGCAUAUACUAGUGUGAUAAUGUAGUAUCUGCCAAUGUCUUGGAAAAAUAACCUGAGAGUGAUUUUCUGAUCUGUGUCCAUGAUAACUUCCUCCUUGACAAAAAUUCAUAUUUUUCCAUUGUAAUUUGUUUCUGUAUAAACCAUUUUUAAUCAUUUCUUGUACUUUUGUAUUUGAUUAGCUCUUUGAAAAGGUUCCAAUAAAGCUAUAUAACUGAAUUUAUGAUGAUUAUUAAGCAUUUGAACCCUGUGAAAAGCCUUCUAGGUUCUCACUGAUCUAAUAUUCGAUAUUAGAGCUUUCAUCAUAAUGUACUAUUGGAUUUGGAAGCUGCACUUCUUGUCAGGACUCUCUUUCAAUCCUUUUUUUCUCUUUUCUUGGAGUGGUUGCUAGAGUUAACUCUAGUGAUGACACAACCUCAUUUACAUCCUCUUAUUUGGUAC